rnacentral:lncRNA from 12 species
GAGAAAUGAAGAGCAACUCUGAGUAAGAUGCAAGCCCGGAGUCUGAAAGGAGAGAGCUACUGCAGCAGAGCCAGCUGGGUUCCCACGAUGGUUCUGAGCAGUGCAACUCUUCAAGUAGAGAUUGCUGGACUGAAACCCAAGAGCACAGUGUGCUUUGGAGCAAGGCUUCCUCCUUGCCAGCUCCUCCAGAGGAUAGAUGCCAGGAUUUCUACUGAAAUUCAGGCUUUAUAUUCAAACAGCCAUGGAGCUGGAAGGACUGAUGCUG